GUGGCAUCUUCUUUUCUCUCUUUCCUCACUGUCUGAGGUAAAAGGAAAGAAGGGAAAAACCUGAAGGAGCUAAGUGAUUUACUUUUCCAAUUUGGGAAGCACUAGUGACUGUCUAUUGAUUCAUAGAUUGUUUUUUAAAUCUGAGAAGACCAAAGAAAGACCUGGCCUUUAGUUUGGACUCUGAGUCUGUUAAGGCUCAGAGUCCUAACUUGGUUCUUGCUGAGGCUCAGCCAGCUGGCCUUUGUUAUUUUUAUAACUUGGAGACAAAGUUAAGAACUUCAACCAGAAGAGAUAGAGAUAUUCAGCAUUACCAGGUCCUAGAGAGAAGCCUGAAGGCUGCACAGCAUGUGGGAACCCAAAGGAGAAGCAAGAUCAGAGAAUGGUAUGCAACAUGAAGCAGCCCAGAUUCAUUCCUUUGAUGAUAUUUUCAACCAUAUGGAUUGUAGGGAUCCAGAAGGAAGGUGAGACCAUUUCCAGGGGAGGGUUGCUAAAUAUCUCUAGGUAAAGGGAGAGUUCUUGGUACUGAAGAACUCAGGUAUAAGCCUCAUCUUUGAGCUUUUUGUUUUCUUUUUCUCUCAGAUGAAAUAAAAUCUGUCCUAUAUCCA
rnacentral:lncRNA from 1 species